GAGUUUGAUCCAUGGCUCAGGACGAACGCUGGCGGCGUGCUUAACACAUGCAAGUCGAACGAUGAUGCCCAGCUUGCUGGGUGGAUUAGUGGCGAACGGGUGAGUAACACGUGAGUAACCUGCCCCUGACUCUGGGAUAAGCGUUGGAAACGACGUCUAAUACUGGAUAUGACUGCCGGCCGCAUGGUCUGGUGGUGGAAAGAUUUUUUGGUUGGGGAUGGACUCGCGGCCUAUCAGCUUGUUGGUGAGGUAAUGGCUCACCAAGGCGACGACGGGUAGCCGGCCUGAGAGGGUGACCGGCCACACUGGGACUGAGACACGGCCCAGACUCCUACGGGAGGCAGCAGUGGGGAAUAUUGCACAAUGGGCGAAAGCCUGAUGCAGCAACGCCGCGUGAGGGAUGACGGCCUUCGGGUUGUAAACCUCUUUUAGUAGGGAAGAAGCGUAAGUGACGGUACCUGCAGAAAAAGCACCGGCUAACUACGUGCCAGCAGCCGCGGUAAUACGUAGGGUGCAAGCGUUGUCCGGAAUUAUUGGGCGUAAAGAGCUCGUAGGCGGUUUGUCGCGUCUGCUGUGAAAUCCCGAGGCUCAACCUCGGGCUUGCAGUGGGUACGGGCAGACUAGAGUGCGGUAGGGGAGAUUGGAAUUCCUGGUGUAGCGGUGGAAUGCGCAGAUAUCAGGAGGAACACCGAUGGCGAAGGCAGAUCUCUGGGCCGUAACUGACGCUGAGGAGCGAAAGCGUGGGGAGCGAACAGGAUUAGAUACCCUGGUAGUCCACGCCGUAAACGUUGGGCGCUAGAUGUAGGGACCUUUCCACGGUUUCUGUGUCGUAGCUAACGCAUUAAGCGCCCCGCCUGGGGAGUACGGCCGCAAGGCUAAAACUCAAAGGAAUUGACGGGGGCCCGCACAAGCGGCGGAGCAUGCGGAUUAAUUCGAUGCAACGCGAAGAACCUUACCAAGGCUUGACAUACACCGGAAACGGCCAGAGAUGGUUGCCCCCUUGUGGUCGGUGUACAGGUGGUGCAUGGUUGUCGUCAGCUCGUGUCGUGAGAUGUUGGGUUAAGUCCCGCAACGAGCGCAACCCUCGUUCUAUGUUGCCAGCGCGUUAUGGCGGGGACUCAUAGGAGACUGCCGGGGUCAACUCGGAGGAAGGUGGGGAUGACGUCAAAUCAUCAUGCCCCUUAUGUCUUGGGCUUCACGCAUGCUACAAUGGCCGGUACAAAGGGCUGCGAUACCGUAAGGUGGAGCGAAUCCCAAAAAGCCGGUCUCAGUUCGGAUUGAGGUCUGCAACUCGACCUCAUGAAGUCGGAGUCGCUAGUAAUCGCAGAUCAGCAACGCUGCGGUGAAUACGUUCCCGGGCCUUGUACACACCGCCCGUCAAUU
rnacentral:rRNA from 1 species